UACAGAGGGUGCAAGCGUUAAUCGGAAUUACUGGGCGUAAAGCGUGCGUAGACGGUUAUGUAAGUCAGAUGUGAAAGCCCAGGGCUCAACCUUGGAAUUGCAUUUGAGACUGCAUAGCUAGGGUGCGGAAGAGGGAAGCGGAAUUUCCGGUGUAGCGGUGAAAUGCGUAGAUAUCGGAAGGAACACCAGUGGCGAAGGCGGUUCUCUGGGCCUGUACUGACGCUGAGGAGCGAAAGCGUGGGGAGCGAACAGG
rnacentral:rRNA from 1 species